UACGUAGGGUGCAAGCGUUAAUCGGAAUUACUGGGCGUAAAGCGUGCGCAGGCGGUUCUAUAAGACAGAUGUGAAAUCCCCGGGCUCAACCUGGGAACUGCAUUUGUGACUGUAGAGCUGGAGUGCGGCAGAGGGGGAUGGAAUCCGCGUGUAGCAGUGAAAUGCGUAGAUAUGCGGAGGAACACCGAUGGCGAAGGCAUCCCCUGGGCCUGCACUGACGCUCAUGCACGAAAGCGUGGGGAGCAAACAGG
rnacentral:rRNA from 1 species